UUGCAAGUGCCAAUGUGCCCGUGGGAAAGGUGGAUGCACUCCUGCUCAUCAAGGUAGAGAAAGGCCCCACGCUGCACAUCCGCCUCCGUGCCACUGUCAUUCAGCUGCUGCUCAGCCUCUCCAGGGACAGACUCCAGUUCCCCGAUGUCCAGGUUGGGCAGUGCUGGAGUGAAACAGUCCGGCUCUACAACCCGUUCAACGCGCCCUGUGAAUGGUUCCUCACUGUCAACAAACCUGCCAAGAAGGUGAACAAAAGUUUGAAACCGGCUGCGCAUCAGAAGGAACUCCAGGCUGUGAAGGACGAUUCCCGUGUCUUUCAGUGGAAGGCCCAGGAGGGAACCCUCUAUGGUAGAGAGUGGUGUGACCUGCAGAUCCAGUUUUCCCCCCUGGAAGAGAAGUCCUACAAAACCGAGCUGAAGAUCAACGUUCGUGGGAACAGCCAGCUCCUCGUGCUGGACAUCUCAGGACAGGGUCUGGAGCCACGGUUGGAGUUCAGCCCCGCAGAGAUCAAGCUGGGAGCGGUGCUGCCGUGCAGCCCU